GAAUACCCGGACGAGUUUCUAGGGUGCUCGCUAUGUUCUGGAAUUCAAACCGGGGUCAAUAGCCGCGCACAGGCCUCUUACUAUUAUUAAGUGCAUCGCAGCUUUUGGUUUGACCGAGUUACAGAACCACUGUCUAUCGAGCUCCUAAGAAAACUAACUGUUAAAACCCGAAAUGCAAAUUCUCCGCCAUUUUGAUCGGCCGCCAUCUUGGAAAGGCUUGAGGACUUUGACAACCUGAUAUCAAAUUCAUCUUUUCCGUGUCAAAUAACCCUGGACUACGGACUUCCAGGCAUUUCCAUCAGCAGAAACCCCUGAAAACCCUUCAGAACAGGGACCCCGCCAUUUUGAUCGGCCGCCAUCUUGGAAAGGCCUUGGAAUUGUGACAGCCUGAUGUCAAAUUCGUCUUUUCCGUGUCAAGUAACCCUCGUGUUAGAGGUUUUCGGUAAUUUCUUUGAUAAGAACCCCUGAGAAACCGCCAAAACUGGUUUCCCGCCAUCUUGUCAAAAAUUGAGAUAUCAACCUGAACUUUGCGCCAAAAAUUUUCUUUUCUUAUUACCUAUCCAACGAUGUGUCACGUGAAAAAGGGUUCCCAUUUGACAAAAAAAGUUAGGGUCCAGAGCCCCCCCCCCCUCCAAAAGGGGGCCCAAAAAUGUUGGGGAGUCAAACAAGUAGUUUACUAUUACACAGGAGCAAUGUCAACAUUUCAAGUCUCUAUAUCUCAAAUCGUAAUGUCAACAUUUCAAGUCUCUAUAUCUCAAUUCAUUCUAAAGUUACACGGGUGUCCUAAGACUUUUGGGUCACCCUGUACACACGGCAAAUUACUGAUUUUCGGCAAAAAAGUAGGAGGAACCAAACAUUUAUGGUAUGUUUGGUUUUCAAAAGAUCCGUGGAAACUACUCUAGUGAGUUUUUGGUAUUGGAAAAUUGCUCAAUAAAUAUAAUGACUGAAUCUUUAGGUGCUCUGUGAGGAUGAUAAUGAGGUAUAUUUUUAAAACCAAAGCGUUGGUAUGAAUUUUCGGUGGAAAAGCAAAAAAUGUCGACAUGUUUUGACUUUGAGAGCAUCAUUACAAACAACUGAAGAGGAUCUCCCGCGAUGCAGAAUAGUUCAAUACAUGUUAUGUCUACAACUUUUAUACUAUGAACAGAUCUCUCAUUCCUUAUCUCACAUUGCUUACUGUAUUCAACAUUAAAGAGCUUGAUGCAAA